GGAUAACCCAUUAGUUGGAACAGGUGGGAAAUCUAUUUGAAGACCUAUUUAAUUUCUCCCAACAGAUCUUCCACCUGUAGCAGUAGAUAGACCACCAAGACCACCACCAACACCACAACCAAUGCCACCAAGACCAGUACCUAUUCAACCAAGACCACCACUAAUUUCACCAAUACCAACAACAAUACCAAGACCGCUAACACUACCACCAAUGCGACUAAUACUACCACCAAGACCACCGACACCACCACCAAAAUUAUAAAUACCGACACCACCAACAACAGCCACCACCAACACCACAAAUACCAUCCAACAAUACCACAACAGUCAAUAAAAUACUGCGACAAAAACUAGGGUUUUCUCGGGUGCUUUUGACGUUUUUAGCAUCAAAACUCAA
rnacentral:lncRNA from 1 species